AUAUGGAGAACUUUGGUGGUGGGGGGGAGACAAUGUAGUUCACAUUCGUGUUAUCUAAAAAAUACUGAAAAGCAGCCCUCUUCGGUCUCCCUGCGGGUCACUUUAAAUUACGAAUUUGGCCACGCACGACACCCGAGUAACCGCUUCCACUCGCCAAUGCAGGCAAAGGUCGGCCCUAAGCUUCCCUUCGUACCGGCUGAACUGCGCCGCGCAGAUACCACAAGUUAGGAGAAGGUGAGAGACGGGAGCAAAGCGACACACGUUCUAGACAAAUUACCGAAAUCGCGCAGGAAUUAUAGCAAACUCUGCCAACUUUACCUUGGGGACAAGACAGCUUGUAAAGCUCCCUUAUUAUACUUGUGUCUAAUACGAUUAAAAACACGAUGGCUAAGACCUAUUUUAGCUAAAAAAACGACCUCCUCGACCACUCCGGGGCCCCGGCCGGGAGGUCACCAGGCGACAGGAGAGUUGAACACCGGUCCCCGCAGCGACCCCGCCGACGCAAGCCUAGAGAAGGCCUGAAGGGACUAGUUGGCGCGCACCAGCCGGGCGUGGUGACGUCAGGGCGGAAGCGCACGCUGCGUGAAGCGGCCCAGAACCCGGCGGUCACGGGAAUAUCCGUCGCGCCGAGGACGCUGGUUAGUCUCGCUCCGGGUUCCGGCUGCGUUGGGCGUGCGUGCAGCUCGCUGAGACUAUGGCGUCCGGGCCUCACCCGACCGCGACCGCUGCCGCCGCCGCCUCGUCCGCCGCCCCGAGCGCGGGCGGCUCCAGCUCCGGGACGACAACCACGACGACGACCACGACAGGAGGGAUCCUGAUCGGCGACCGCCUCUACUCGGAAGUUUCGCUCACCAUCGACCACUCGCUGAUUCCGGAGGAGCGGCUUUCCCCUACCCCGUCCAUGCAGGACGGGCUCGACCUGCCCAGCGAGACCGAUUUGCGCAUCUUGGGCUGCGAGCUCAUCCAGGCCGCCGGCAUUCUCCUCCGGUUGCCGCAGGUGGCGAUGGCAACGGGGCAGGUGUUGUUUCAUCGUUUUUUCUACUCCAAGUCUUUCGUCAAACAUAGUUUCGAGAUUGUUGCCAUGGCUUGUAUUAAUCUUGCAUCCAAAAUUGAAGAAGCACCUAGAAGAAUAAGAGAUGUGAUUAAUGUAUUUCACCAUCUACGCCAGUUAAGAGGAAAAAGGACUCCAAGCCCCCUGAUCCUUGAUCAGAACUACAUUAACACCAAAAAUCAAGUUAUCAAGGCAGAGAGGAGGGUGCUAAAGGAGUUGGGAUUUUGUGUUCAUGUCAAGCAUCCCCAUAAGAUCAUUGUUAUGUAUUUACAAGUCUUAGAAUGUGAACGUAAUCAAACCCUGGUUCAGACUGCCUGGAAUUAUAUGAAUGACAGUCUUCGAACGAAUGUAUUUGUUCGAUUUCAACCAGAGACAAUAGCAUGUGCUUGUAUCUACCUUGCGGCUAGAGCCCUUCAGAUUCCAUUACCAACUCGUCCCCAUUGGUUUCUUCUUUUUGGUACUACGGAAGAAGAGAUCCAAGAAAUCUGCAUAGAAACACUUAGGCUUUAUACCAGAAAAAAGCCAAACUAUGAAUUGCUAGAAAAGGAAGUAGAGAAAAGAAAAGUAGCCUUACAGGAAGCCAAAUUAAAAGCAAAGGGAUUGAAUCCUGAUGGAACUCCAGCCCUUUCAACCCUUGGUGGAUUUUCUCCAGCCUCCAAACCAUCAUCACCAAGAGAAGUGAAGGCUGAAGAGAAGUCACCAAUAUCCGUUAAUGUGAAGACUGUCAAGAAAGAACCUGAGGACAGACAACAGGCUUCCAAAAGCCCUUACAAUGGUGUAAGAAAAGACAGCAAGAGAAGUAGAAAUAGCAGGAGUGCUAGUCGAUCAAGGUCAAGAACACGAUCACGUUCUAGAUCACAUACUCCAAGAAGACAGAAAAUUUCCAGUAGAAGUAGUACAAUACCCAUAUCUCAGCUCCAAAAGUGAUCAGUUCGUGGUCAGCCUACCUUGUUCAUACCUACCAAUUCACCAUUCUACUUUGCACGCUUAUUUGGAAGAAAAUCCCAGACAACUGAUUUCAUCCCCAACUAUUUCAGUCUAAAAGGGUUCUAGGUUCCUGGAGCUCAAAACGGGGACCAGAGACCUGUAAACAACAGCCAAGGAGUAGCAAACUGCACUGACGCCGCUGAAGCCAGCUGUCAGUUUGCAUCCGUCGGUGUGCUGACAGCGGUAUUUUUCUUGAAUCCUGCUCUUUUUGCUUGUUGGUGCUACCUGCCUGGUCUUUUUGCAGUGGACACCUGACGUCACAGAGGAUAAUCCAAGACCUACACAAAUCUCCACGUCUGUGAAAGUGGCCAUAUGCAUACUGUGCCCAACCUCUCUUUACUGGCUGACCAGUAUUCUAUGGCUAACCUUUUCAAACUGGAAUUUCUCCUUUGACGAGCUUUUGCAUUACUGGAGCACUUGUGGAAAAACUCCGCAAGUGGAUUCUUCCUGUUUUUAUACAGAGUAUUUGACACAUCAGAUCUUUGUCCACAGCACAAGGACAAGGCACAUCAUAAAUCUAAGCCACCAUGAGGUUCAAUAUUUUCCAACCUAAAUUACAAAACUAACUUCCUGCUCAAAAUGUUUUAUUUCCUUGGAUCUUCUCAAGCAAACCAAGUCUUAUUCAUUUAAUAAUUACUGCAACAUGGAUUAACAAUGUACAAUGACGUCAUGUUGAAACUGGUUAGUCCUGGCAGACGAUAUUUUCCACACAAAUGAAAUGAAGAGCAAAUUAAUUUUCGACUUACUUGAAAAUAGUCAAAUUAUAAAUGUCAGUUGUCGCCAUAAUUACACUUAACCUGAUGAGGGCUACCAUGAUAGGUUUCUACCUAGAGAAAUAAAGGCAGAGAAAGUCUCGAUGGCUAGAUAUGUGGCAAAUAUCUACAUAUAAUUAAUACUUGCUUGCAGGGUACUUGCUUUCCAGUUGGAGGCCAUUUUUUAAAAAGCCAAAUAACAUCCAAAGUAAUCCAAAUAAUAUCCAAAAUGAUCUUCAGUAUAGUUUAGGGCCAGGCAAGCAGUAUAAUGAGUGCUGAGUUUAAAGAAGGAAGAGGGACCCCUGUGGCCUAAAAGACCCUGGAAAGUUUUCACAGGGAACACGAAACAUGUGGGGUGCCUGGAAUGGGAAAGAAUUUGAAAGGCCAAGAAGGAAAGGCAAUGUAAUAUAGAGGUAGCGCGUAAGGGGGACUGUGGAGUGCAUGCCGGGGUGAACACCAGCCCUGUGUGGCCAGAGAAGGCAGGCAAUAGUGGACUUAAGGAGUCAGACUGCUGGCGGUCACUGUUUUUAUCUAAUUUUGUACACACUACUUAAUGUCUCCAAACUUCCAUUUCCCAUCUGAAGAGUGAGUCAUUGAGUCUGCUGUAUUCACAUAGUACGAGGGUUAAAAGACGUGAUGUAUGUAUGUGGUGCACUUAGCACAGUGUUAGACCUGUAGUGAAUGGUCAGUCAGUGGUAUCACCAUUUUAGCAUUGUCAGAGGCCUGUGGAUGCCAGACUGUGGUGACUUGUAGACCAGAGAGCCACUGUGUUAAGCAGGUGGGUGACUAUUAACUUCCUAGGGUCACUGUAACAAAUUACCACAUACUUGCUGGCUUAAAAGAAAUGGAUUCUCUCACAGUUUUGGAGGCUACAAGUCUGAAAUCAAGGUGUUGGCAGGGCAUGCUCCCCUUGAAGGUUCUAGGGAAGAAUCCUUCCUUGACUCUUUCUAGCCACUGGGGGCUCCCAGCUGUCCCUGGCAUUCCAUGGCUCGUAGCCAUGUCAUUGCAUUUUCUGCCUCCCUCUUUAUGUGGCCUUUUUCUCUCUGUGUAUGUCCUCUCCCCUCUUUUUUUUUUUUUUUUUAAGAUUUUAUUUAUUUAUUUGACAGAGAGAAAUUACAAGUACACAGAGAGGCAGGCAGAGAGAGAGAGAAGGAAGCAGGCUCCCUGCUGAGCAGAGAGCCCGAUGCGGGACUCGAUCCCAGGACCCUCGAUCCCAGGACCCUGAGAUCAUGACCUGAGCCGAAGGCAGCGGCUUAACCCACUGAGCCACCCAGGCGCCCCUGUCCUCUCCCCUCUUUAUAAGGACACCAGUCACUGGAUUUGGGCCCCACCCUAAUCCAGUAUGACCUCAUCUAAUUACAGCCACAAAAACUAUUUCCAAAUAAGGUCACAUUCUAAGGUUCUAGAUGAAAUGAAUUUGGGGGAGGUGGGGGACACUUUUCAACCCACUGCAGUGACAUAAGAAAACCAAGUUGAAAAAAACUGAAAUUAACAUGUUUUUUUAACUUUCAUUUUGAAAUAAUUUCAGGCUUACAAAAUACAAGUUGCAAAAAUGGUACAAAGAAUCCCCGUGUAGCCUUCACCCAGAUUUCCCAACUUGCUUCAUCACUCUCUCUCCCUCUGCAUGUGUGUACUGGAUUUUCCGAUACAUUUGAGAGUAAGUUGCAGUCAUGAUGUCCCCUUACCUGUAUUUCACUGUAUACUCCCUAAAAAUAAGGAUCUUUAUCUUCCAUAUCCAUAGUAGGAUUAUCGAAGUCAGGAAAUUAAAAAAAAAUGAUACUGACCUAAUCAAAUAUUACCAGUUUUCCUACCAAUGCCCUUUUCUGGUCCAGGAUCCAAUCUAGAAUCACAUAUUGCCAUUAAUUUACUUUCUUCUGAAAUAGUUCCUCAGUUUGUCUGUCUUUCAUGACCUCGACCUUUUUUGUUUUGAAGAGCUUUAUUUUUUCCAGCAUUAUAGCUUGAUACAUUUCAAACCUCUAAGGAAAAUUAAGAGCAGUAAAAACCAGUACCUUUAUAUUCAUUACCCAAGUUCAUUAGUAAUUAUAUUUUGUUACACACGCAUGAUUUCUCUGGGUAUAUAUAUGUAGCCACAUAUUUUUGUUUUCUGAACCAUUUAAGUUACUUUACCCUUAAAUACUCUAACACAUAUUACCAAAGAUCGAGGACAUUUGCCCCCAUAGCCACAACUCAACUGUCAUCACAGGAAAUUUAACAUUGAUACAAAUAUGUAAUAUACAGUUAUCUUAGAAUUUCCCAGAUUGUUGUAAUUGUUGUUUAUAACUGGGGGUUGGUUGUUUGAUGCAGGGUCCAAAGUUUAUAUAUUGUAUUUAGUUUACUAUCUCCUAAGCUGCAUUAAUCUAGAAAACUCCCCAUGAUUAGAUCCACGUUUAAACAUUUUUUGUAGGCCCACUACAUAGAUGAUACUGUGUUCUCAGUGUAUCACUUAGCAGGCACAUGUCAAUUUGUCCCAUUAUCAUUAAGUUUGGUCAUUUGACUAAAGUGGUGUCUACCAUAGUCCUCCAUUAUAAAGGUACUUUUAAUCUGUACUCUGUGGGGUUAUACAUGAAGACUGAGUGAAUUCCCUGUUCCUUGACAGUUUUUCACCCAUGGCUUUAGCAUCCAUUAAUGGUCUUACUGGAAUCAAGUUUUUGUUUUGUUUUAGGUUUUACUAUAGCAGUUGGAAAAUGGUGGUUUUUCUAUUUCUAGCUGCUUAAACAUUUGUUGGUUGGCAUUCUUCUAUGAAGAGAGCUUUCCCUUCAUCUCUUACUAUUUCAAGUGUCUAUAAGAUCUUAAGAUCUUAAAAAAAAAAAAAAAAUUCCUCUCAUUGUGACGCUGACAUCACCCCAAAUUAGGCCAGUGGAGACUCCUACAGGCUAGCUCCUUUGGCCUUUCGAUAUGUCCCCAUUAGUUUUGGGCAUUAUGUUACUUUCUCGUACAACAAGAUAGUCCAGGUUCACCUUCUACUUUCUCUGCUUCAACCCCGGAACAAGCCAUUCCUCUAAGAACCACAAGUUCCUGUUAGUGAGGGACCAAAUUCUGGCAGAAGGUAAGCUCAUUGCUACUUGGUAUCAUCGUUUCUACGUCUUUUCAUAUGAAACCUCCAAUUCUACUCCAUCACUAUAGAGUUCUUUUGCUCCUUCCUCCCAGGGUAAACCAGGAGCUUUGUAGAAUGCUCUUUAAUUGAGGUCUGCCUGGUGUUUCAUGAUUAGAUUCAGGUUUUGUGUUUUUGGUAGGUGUACAACAGAAGUGAGGUUGUAUCUUCCUUAGUGCAUCAGAUUAGGAGGCCCCUGUCGAUUGGUUUCAUGACUGAUGGUGUUAACUUUGGUCAUCGAUGAAGGUGGUGUCUACCAGUGUUCUCUACUUAAAUGUUACUAGUUCCCCCUUUAAAGUAAUAGAACCUUACAGAAGAGGUGUUUUGAGAUCACAUACAUGCUGUUUUUCAUCAUCAUUCUGCCUACUAAUUUUAGCAUCCACUGAUGUUAGCCUGAAACAUUUAUUGAAAAUGUUUUCUAAUUCCAGCAUUCCUUCCAUAUUUAUUAGUUGGAAUCCCACUAUAAGGAAGAGCUUUCCCUUCUUCAUUUACUCAUUUGUUUAUGUAUAUCAGUGUGUAACCAUCUUGUGGGUCAUAAUCCAUUACCAUCAUUUAUUUUGUUAUAAUUAUCUAAGAUGUGGCCAAUAAGAAUUGCUUUUAAGCUAGUUCCUCUGUCCUUUGAGAUGAAUACUUUUUUUAAAGAUUUAUUUUAGAGAGAGAUAGAGUACACUCAAGGGAGCACAAGUAGGGGAGGGACAGAGAGAGAGGGAGAGACAAUCUCAACCAGACUCCAUGCUGAGCGUGGAGCCCAAUGCAGGGCUCAGUCUAAAGACUCUGAGACCAUGACCUGAGCCAAAAUCAAAAGUGGGCCACUUAACUGACUGAUGAAUAUUUUUAAGACUAUUCUUCACAUAUGUGACUUUCCAAAAUAUUCACAACAUUUGUACGUUCUCUAGGAGUGUGUUAUGAGAAGCCCUUGGGCUGUCUCAUCAGCACUGGCUGUAGAGGAAAUAGAGUGACUUUUAAAGGUCAUGGUCACUACAAUGCCAACGUAUAGGGCUUCUCACGACAGUUUCCUUUUGGCCCAUGACAACCUUCCUCACCCAUGAUCAGCUCCCAUACUCCCAACAGUCUGUCCUUGCCUUACAAGAACAUUUUAGUUUGCAGUAAGAGUUAGCAGUAAGUACUUCCGCCCAUUAGAGGUCACUUUUGGCUAGAUGUGAAAGAUUUCUCUCCAAAUCUCUUACCAGCUGACUGGCAAGUUGUACUCUGAGCACAAUAAGGAUUUGUCUAUUUCCAAAGGAACACUAAUGUCUUUAGAUGUGUCCACUUAAGCCUCAUUUAAAUCCUUAAUCCAGACUUGAAUCCUGGAUGACAACCCGAAGGGUACAUAACUUUGCUAAGUUCUGCUGGGAGAAAAAUAAAGACAGAGAUGCCUGUUUACAUAAGCACUAUGUUUUACAUAUGUUAACUCAUUUCACAUCUUUCAUAAAAACCCUAUGGGGUAUGUUGGGGGGAACUCAUGAAAGGUGAUUUCACCCAGGCAGUAAGUGGCUUAGCCAAGAUUCAAACCCAAAUACUUUGUUCCAGAGUGUGGAUCGAAGUGUGCAUCAACCUGCGUGGCUUUUCUAGAGUCCCACUGUAAUUAAAUCUUUCUAUAUUCAAGCCUGGAAACUUUGGCUUCUUUAUAAAGCAUCAGAGCUCUUUUGGAGAUUAGCGGUGGAUGCUUCUUAUAAGCUGUGUGCCACUGGGAACUAGUCCAGUGGAGGCAUGCCUGUGCCCACACCUGAGUCCAAUGUGACCUCUGUGGCUGCAGGCUGGCCAGGUCCUGGGAUCAACCCCAGGAACCCAGCAGCUUCACCACCACCCCAUUCAGUGUUGCACUCAGACAACCUGAGGCCACCAGUUUGGCCUUUGCCUCCUAGGAGCUGCAGCAUCUGGCUUUGGAAGAAGCUUCAAAUAAUUCUCCAAGGUACUUGAUAAAGUUCUCUACCUCUCCUCCUUGGCAGAGAGGGUGGUGAAAGGGGGCAUGGGUUCUGGUGUUCGAUCAGCCUGCAUCAAAAGCCUGGUGCUCCUGCUCAGUGGCCUUGGGCAGAACUGCUUCGCUCCAUGAGCCUGAGUUCCUUCAUCCCGUGGUAGACGAUGGAGACACUUCCCGGCACACGUGUUGUGAGAAUUAAUGAUGUACGUAAAGGAUGCUGGUGCAGGGUAGGAGGUACUUGGUAGAUUUUACUUUUAUCACUUCCUUAAAAGUAGAGCCCUAUUCCCAAUCCGAGUGACUGACUGAUGUCGUGUCCUAGGUGGCUCUGCCUUUUCCCCAAACACUAGUGCCUCUUUCUGCUGGUUGUUACUCCUUGAGAAAUGAAAACACAUCCCUCCAUGCCGGUGAGUGUCAUCUCUUGUGCCUGGCCUAAUUCUCCAACUAGACUCAAGUCUGGGACUGUCCUUUACACGUUUUCAUAUCCCUAGGCUUUUUUUUUUUUUUUAAGAUAUUUUUUAUUUAUUUGACAGAGAGAGAGAGAGAGAGGUCACAUGUAGUCAGAGAGACAGGCAGAGAGAGAGGAGGAAGCAGGCUCUCUGCUGAGGGGAGAGCCCAAUGCAGGGCUGGAUCCCAGGACCCUGAGAUCAUGACCUGAGCCGAAGGCAGAGGCCUCAACCCACUGAGCCACCCAGAUGCCCCCAUAUCCCUAGGCUUAACCAAGGACCCCAAACAGUAAGUGGUCAGUAAAGGACUGUUGAUGAGAGACUAACAGAAGUUACUUCACAAGGAUUUAUGGAGUGUUUACCAAGUGUCGGGCAACAGGCCAGGCUCUGAGAAGAGUGAGGUGAUUUAAUGCCCAAUCAAAGGAGCUCCUGCUCCGACUAAAAGCUCCUGCUAAGACCUAGAACAGGUAAUGCACCUUUUCGUCCCAGGGAAUGACUUCCUCUGUUGAGGAAAUCUGGUUUACUGUGUCUCAAACAAGAGAUAAAGCCAAGCCCACAGCCCAAAGCCUUUUCACUGUGGAGAGUGCAUAUGAUGGCACUGAGUGCCCAAGGACCCGGGGCCAUUCGGGACCUCACAAGCUGUUUUUGCCACCUGCUCUUUAAGACCAGCCCAGCAGCCCCUGACCUCCAAGGCGAGCACAAGGACACAGCCCAAGCUGUCCUCACCACAAGGGGUCAGUGUAAGACUGCCCAGGCUAGAGAAGUUGGUCAGUGAUGGACUCCCUCCCUGGGAGGGACUCAUUCCAGCCGUGCAGCAUUUGAAUGAUUUGUUCUUGGGUGGAGUGGAUGAAAAGAGAGAGAGUGGGUCAGAAAAACUGAAACUAUCUGUUAAAUUCACAAGUUGCUACAGUAUGAGUUCAAACAAUGUUUGACUAUUUUUAGUGCAAAGACAGGUGAUUUGAGGGUUUUGGAAAACAAAGCACCGUCUGGAAAACCAAGAGAUAAGUGAGGAAAUAUAGUGCAUUAGCAAAAACUUUACUUUUUCAUUUGCAAAAACAAAAUGACUUCCCCUCUCCCCCACCCCCCUCUCAGGAAAAGGAAGGCCUUCAGAAAUUAGAAGAAAUGCAAUUUACUGACCAAGCCUCCCUCUGCAACAGAAAAAAGAACCUUCCCUCUUAUCUGGGUUCAGAACUGGCAAGCAACAUCGGCAUGGGCACUUCAUAAACAUUCACUGACCAAAACGUCGACAGUGCAAAGCAACCAUUCUGUUAUUUCAAGAACCCUUCUAAAAUGCCAGUGAUUGAAGCAGGAUCUUGACUAUCCUUUGCAAAUCUUGAAAAAGAAAAGCCCCAUUCAGCUGGCCACAUGGAAUAAAACAAGCACAGUGGAUUAACCUCUCCUGGAGCUGGGACAUAUUCUCAAAGAGCAGAGCAAACUGAAGCAGUGGGUAGGAUUUUUAAGUGACUACUCCCAAAACAUCCCAAGCAAUGGGGAUUCAGUGCCUCCACCUUGUAGGGGAAAAAAAAACCACCUUACUUCACUUUGCACGGACAUGCAGGCUGUGCCUAUGAACAGAAAUGGCUGAAGCUGGCAUGGGGGAGGGGGGGCGGGUUGGAGGGGGCAGUUGGUUUUAGUCAACGUAAACCAUCCCGAUCGUGAUGUAUCAGUCGAGCUGAAAGACAUUCAGGGAGAACAUGGUGAAACCAAUGGGUUGUUAUGUUGACAGGUCAAGGUCUGCUUGUUUUGGCCCGGUUACACCUGGCCUUGGCCAGUGUGAUCUCGAUAAACAGAAAGGAAUCCACCUCCAUAACCGCAGCCCAGACAGCCUGUGCUGGUGAAGCCGGGGUCUGGCUGAAUUGGACUAGGAUGGCUUGGAGACCUUCCAUCAGAGAGCUGGGCUCUGUCUGCCCCUACAGGACCUCUUCUGCCGGUUCCUUAUAAGAAGUACUCUUCCUGUGUCAGUGGUUGGCUGACGCAGGCGGGAGCAGAGGUGGGGCAGCCGCAACUUGGGUGUGGGCCUGGGCUGUCUUCAGCCUGGAACAGGACAGCUCUAUCUCCUUACACCAGCUUCCCAUCCCCGCCACCAUGCUGCCCCUCCCGCCAUGAGUAGCCCCACAUUUUUCUCAGCAACAGAGGGGUGGUGGGGCGAGUGCCUCCUUCCCAUCCCCCCAGUCCUCCGUGCUGGAUCCAGUUUCACAACACACACACACUCACACACCCCUACAUGAGGAUGGCUAACAGCUGAAGCCCACAUCAGGGCAUCAACCCCCUAGUCAGCCUGGUGAUACCUGCACAGGCAGGGAGUUCCCAGGAAAACUACUUCACUUGACACAGCUUUAGCCCCCUGACCUUGGCCUCAUAUAUAGGCCUCUACUUCUAGUGCCCACCCCUCCCAUCUGCCCCUACUACCACCUCUGACCUUAUCCAAAUCUGCCCUUCCAUUUGUCCCUCAGAUUCUGCUUGACCGUGUAUAUGUGCAAGACAGACCCCUCCUGGGAGAGGUAGACUGUGGCGCUCUCCUCUCAAACCCAAAGACUGGGGAAGGAAAAGAGCAUGAACUGAGUCUUUGCUUUGUGCCAGGAGCUUUAGAAGCAUGAUCUUUCUUCAUCUGGCCCUGCUACCUUAGAGGAAGGCCCCGUUAUUACCAUAAGAGCUGGUGCCAUGUGGAGGUCAAGAGCAGGGAUGCUGCUGCCUGCAUUUCAAGUCUGGGUUUGUAACCUUGGGCAGGUGAUUUGACCUACAGGCCACGUCACCAGGAAAACGAGAAUCAGGUUACUGUGAGCAUUACAUGAGUUAACUCAUGUAAAAAGUGCUAAGAGCAACCCUACAGAAGUGUGAGUCACUGUUAUAUAAUAUCAGCUACUGUGUGUUCAAGAUGAGAAAAUGGAGGCCACACAAGCACGGGCAGAGCCUAGGUUCUGGUGGGCUCCAUACCAGGGCCCUCCCUGCAUUACAUGCUGCUUUGCUUUGAUACUAGUGUGUCACCCCCUUCCAGGGAGAGUUCCCUUUGGCCGACACCCGGAGCCUUAAAAGUGAGUGUGGAAGAGAAACUGGAGAACAGGAGCCACAGAGUCUCGUCUGGGCUCCAGAAGUUGCAUCCCGGGGAGCUGAGAUUACCAGUGACCAGCAGUGCUCCCGUCUGGGCAGGAAGGUCCUGUUGGUUGUGGUUCUGGAGAGGGCUGGCCCUGUCACCUGCUCCUUCCUCUCCUCAGAAGCAGGCUGAGACCCCAGGAUUCCAUCCCUCCUCCUCAUCCCUGCCCUCACCCCCAUCUUAGAAACGGCGUCGUUUUUCCGCAAACUAUGGCAGAUGUUCAAUUUAAACCUAACCCCACCUGCUCCAAAGCACAUAUUCUCUCCCGUGCUUAUCUGGGUCAGUUGCCCCAUGCUGCCCAGACGUCUGUGGGAGACAGACAAAUGAGGCCACAGGGACUGGCCCUCAUGCCUUGGCCUCCACGUGCAGGGGUGGGAGGAAACAGGAAACCAGAGCAAAGGCCAGUGCCGGUGGCAGGCACAUGUAUGUGUCACUUGGUCACCAAAGUAUAAAUCCAGUUGAUGGGAAACUCAUAUCGACUCCCUUCAGCCCCAAAGCAGAAGAGCAUCCAGAGGUGUGUGGGGUCAGGCAAACUACAGUCUCAACAGUGUUUCUGAAGCUUAUAUCAUGCCUUGAAUUGGUACUCUCCCUGUGAGCUUUGUGAUCUCUGAAGCUUUCCGGACCAGGAUUUACAAGGCAAAGAACCCCCACCUCAUAGGCUUUUGCUAGGGCUAACUGCAAUGCCAUAGGCAAAAAUGCCAGGGGCUGGCAUGCGAGAGAGGUUUGUAAAAUGUGAAAUUUCCUAGAUCAGGUAAGAAACCAGGUAUAAUUUCACUUAGUUCCACCCCAGAGAUGGAGUAUCUGGAAAAAGGCUUUCUGCACUCGUGCUGGAAUGUACCUGUCUCUUGUGGGUAGAGAAGCAAGCCUUUAGGUCACUUCUCGGCACUGUGGGUAUCAGAGGCUCGUCUAAGAAAACCCAGUCCUGGAACUAGCAGUUCCCAUGAUGGGUUGUCAACUGCCUUCCUGGGUCCCCCAGGCCUCUGUGACGAGCUGUCCACCUGCCCCUCCACUGUCAGGCCCCCUCUAAGCUUUUCAGGGUCAUGCUCCCUGGUUCCCUCAAAGCAGGAUGAUAUUUGGCACCAGUGGACAAAAUUCUCAGUUGGGCAGUGAAUCCCUAGACGCUUACCAUCCUGCCUGCAUAGGAGGAGGAGAACAGAGAGGGCAUGGAGCAGGAGGGGAGGACACAGGGUGAAAGUUCCAGAAGUCCAGCAACCUUUCACCCCGUCCCAAUGACAGGAAGCUGAAUCUAAAAGGAAACUCCUUAGAUGCCUGGGAAAAAGCUGGUUAGGGAAGUAAAGAGUUACUGGAAUGUUGAAUGCUGUGAAGGAAUCUGUCAGAUGAGAAAGGAAAAGGAAAGUGGUUAUCCAGGACAAAGGGCAUGAGUUUUCAGUCUACUAUUCAUCAUGACCGGAGAGGGACUGUUGACCAGAUUAUUUCAUUCCACAGGUACGGAGGGAAAGACUUGUUACUCUUUUGUGUGCAGUGGGUUCCUCCCCACCUUGUGGACUGUUCUCAUCCUGCAAGGCUGGGGAAACUCAAUUCUAAGCACUCAGUGCGGUGAGAAGGUGAGGGCUUUGAAGCCAGAACACCCGGUUUCAAGCUGUUGCUCCCCUCUGACCCACACGUGACCCUGAGACCUCAAAUUCCUCACCUGAAAAUAAAAGGAAUUGCUACCUCCAGGCUGCAGUGAGCAGUCUUGGGAGAACAUGUGUAAGGAGGCUUCUCAUAAAGAAGGGAACCUCACAGCUACUGGUCACUUGUUCUUUCUUUCUUUUUUUCUUUUUUCUUUUCUAUUUAUUUACUUGAGAGAGAGUGAGAGAGUGAGAGAGAGAGCAUGAGAGGGGAGAGGGUCAGAGGGAGAAGCAGACUCCCCACCAAGCAGGGAUCUUGACGUGGGACCCCAGGCAGUCACCUAACCAACUGAGUGACCCAGGUGCCCUCACUUGUUAUUUCUAAUCUAUAGGAACUCUAACUUCUCUCCAGGCCAACUAGCAUUGUCUCAUUAUCAGCAAAGAGAAAGAUAGCGAUUUAUCAAGGCCUUUUAUCAUCUUUGGGGAUUUAAAGUUUUAAAGCCUGACGAAGAGCCAAGUGCUUUGCUCUCUCACGUGUUCCUCCCCAUACCCAGCAUCUUGCGGGGAACAUGGGCCUUUUUGGGGGAAAGGCCACCAUCAGGCCCCAGCCAGCCCCUGGGGAGCAACAUGGGGGACACUGAGCUCAUACACACUCCCCCUUCCAGUCUAGGGCUGCAGUAGGCACUUUUUUCUUCGUAGUCCACUUGCUCCAUUAAAAUGGUAUCUAAAAUUAAAUUUUAUGACAAAUUGAUAUAAAAAUGGGUACGAUCCAGGCGGGGCCCAUUACUGCAUAUUCAUCAGGAUUACUUUUUAGGAUUUAAUAGAAAUUUACUUUAAAAGAAAUGCAUGCUGAGGAGCACUUUGGGCACUAGGGGGCAGCACGAGCUCACGAGAUGCUUAUGGGGCCCCGGGUGGAGGGGCGGCCUGGUAAAUAAUGGGGAAAGACAGAGCAAUGACUCCCACCGCUGACUCACAAAGGGCUUUUGCUUCUCACAGAGUGUUGUGUUCGCUCCUCACAUCAGCCCCAGGAAGCAGGCGGGUGGGGCUGGAGUUACUGCCCCACUUGGGACAGAGGAGGAAGGCUCACCCUGGGAGGCCCCGUGGGGCGCUGGGUCACACCGUGGCAGAGGCGGGCCCAACUAGAAUUUCCUGGCUCCUCCUGCCAUGCUUCUCUUUCAGAUGUUGAGCUGGGCUGGAUACUGAGCAGACAAGGGUAGGACCAGAAGGCCAAACUCAACCUCCAACCCCCAAGCCUCCCCUGCCACCACUCCUCACCCCCAACUCUCUGGGAAGCAGCAGCCCUCCUGAAUCCAGGCAGAGGAGACCCAACAUUCCAGACCCAGGCCCUACCCCCAAGCUCCCUGGGGGCCAAAUGUGCCUUUGUUCAUUCCCUAGGGCCCGCUGAUCCACUGGCCAGCCAGGAGCAGGCCUCUUAGGUGGGAGAGACAUUCACUCUGCUCCAUGAAGGGUUAAGCAAUGCCAGAAGCAUACAAAAGGCAUUCACUGUGCAAAGGCUAAAGGAAGAAAUAAGCACUAGAGAGGCACCGAGUGCCUGGCAAAGGCACACAGCAGAGAAGGAAAGACCAGAAACAAAAGCAAACAGAGCACAGGCAGGAGAUGAUGGGAUCUUGGAGGCUGCUUUCCCACGUCCCAGGGGGAACACCCAGCCCGUGGCCUGAUGGAGAGCGCCAGCUAUGCUUGAACAAUAGGCCUUUCUCUCUUCUCGGCAGCUAAGCACACACCCAGGAGGAAGAGAGCCUGGCUCGGCGCAGGCCAACUCUGCACUGGGAUCUGGACUGAAGGGGAAGCUAGUUUACAACACAUAAUUUGUGUUCAGUUUCCUUCUUUCAAGGUGAGGGCAGUGCCUGAGUCCAUGUGAUAAAUAAAAGGUAGAUUUCUUUGCUGGACAAGCAGAAAAGGGUUGUUCACUUUUUCAGGGGAAACACGAGAACCCAACUGAAUGGAUGUGGCAAAAGUCCACAGAGUUCCAGAGAGCAUCUUUGUGAUUCAAAGGAGCCAAGAAGGUUCUGGAAACAAGAAGUUCCUGGUAAAGUGUGGCCAGGGCUGAGGCAAGGGGACGCAGCAUUAUGGGGACCCUGGGGGCUCCAGAUGCUCCAAGGACAGAGGUGACAUCCAUCCACCAAACAGCAUCUGUCCUCAAGGUCACCAAAUAGGCAGGAAUCUCUCCCUAUGUCAACAGAGUGACACCAGUACUCGUCUGGCAGGCCCACCUCAUGGAGGAAUGAUGACAGGCUUAUUGCAUGGAUGAAGAGUCACAGUUCAGUUGCUGAGUCUCCACAGUCCAACCCCUGACUUCCCAGGGAUUGGUGGGUAGAGGUGACAGUCCAGCCCAGGUUGGGAGGAGAGGGACUGAAAAACCUGCUCAAGAAAGGACAGGAACCCUCAUCAGAGUGCCAGGGCAUUCAUGAAGCUAUGUAUUCAGUACUCUCCUGGGAGGGAGCAGAUAUGGCAGUUGCGAGCCACGGGGAAAGACUUAUCCAUAGAAGGCUUGCCGCCAGGGGCAGGCUGAGCCAGACCCGCUGUAUUUAAGAACUCCAUGAUAGAGGGUGAUUGACUUUCAGAACUGAAAAGGACUUUUAGGAUAGCUGCUCUGAUCUCCUCACAUUGGCACAGAAAGGGACUUUGGAGGAAACAGAGUCAAAUGCCAAGGUGGCCCAAAAGGAUGGUGUGACUUGCUAAAUGCCCCACAGAACCUCAGGGAACAGGAAGAAGCAGCCCCAGCUUCCUGAUUUAUGGCCCAGAGCUCUUGCUGGUAAAAUGACACUAUCUUGAAAGCAGAAAGUAAAGAGGACCUAGAGGAGUCCUGGGGAGCUGGGUGUUUCAUUGGGCCGAGACUCAUUGGGCCAAGGAUACAAAAUGAACCUUAACUUUGAAGCCAGACUAGAGAAGGAAGUAGGCCACUAAAACACUGCAAUUUAUCAGAGUAGGUGGAAAAUCAAAACGCACAAACCAGCUCAAGAUCACGUGACAAGGGAAGGUUGCUGGGAAGGACUUGUGUGACACAGUGUUUGAGGUUUCUUCCAUCUCCCUGUUCUGAGGGCUGCUGCUCUAAGAGCCUAAGGCUCUGAGGAGCUAGGAAGGAGUCUGUGUGCUGACUUGAGAGGGGAAAUACGGAGGGCUGUGACUCAUGCCCCUGCAGCUUCCCUGGGCCACUCCAGCAGCUCUGAGUCAGCAGCCAUAUCUGAGAUUGGCACCAUUGUUCAAGGCCUUCUAUGGUGACUCAGCAGAAGGGGACAGGACGAUGAAUUGCUCUGCUGGGAGAGGCUGGUCAGCCAGAACCUCCCACCUGUGGCAUCUAGGUCCCUGCUCUGGGAGGAAAGCAGAAGCCUGCUUGCCAUCCUCUGAGGCUCCCAUGGUGCAGGCUGUCGGAGUCUCUGUGGCCCAGCGCAGGGCUGGGUGUUAGCCAUGUCAUUAGAACAAAUUCCAUUUAUUUUUUUGAGGUAAGCAGCCAGUUUUCAUCAAGUACUUAUUAUGCCAAAGAGAAAGGAGCAUGGGGUUUAGAUUUGGAAGACAAUAUAGGAGCACGCCUAUUUCUAUAAUUUCACAGAUGAAGAAACUGAGGUAUGAACAGAUUAUGUGUUUUUUAAAAAAUUUUUUGUUUUGUUUUGUUUAGAUUAUAUACUUUCUCCCAAGAUUACUUAGAGCCUCUUUCCUCAAGGCCACCUUUAUGCUAACUGGUAGGUAAGGGUGCGAGGGCUCUCAGAGAUAAACUUGGGCCUAUCCUAUGGCAGGCAGAAUAAUGCUCCCCACCCUAAGAUGGCCUCCCACUAAUUCCCAGAACCCGUGAAUAUGUUGCUUACAUAGCAAAGAGGACUAUGCAGAGGUGAUUAAGGAUCUUGAGAUAAAAAGUUUAUUCUGGAUUUUCUAGGUGAGUCCAUCGCUGUCAUGAGAGUCUGAGUUGAAGAGGGGCAGGAGAGGCAGAGUCCGAAGGAGAUUGGAAUUUCCUCUGCUGCUGGCUUUGAAGAUGGGGAAGGGGUUUCAAUCCGAGGAGUAUAGGCAGCCUCUAGGAGCUAGACAGGAGAACAGAUUCCUCCCUAGAGCAUCCAGAAGGAACACAGCCCUGCUUCCACCUUGACUUUAGUCCAGAGAAACCCAUUUCUGACCUCCAGAACUCAGAGAAGAAAUUUGUGUCAUUUUUAAGCCACAAAGUUUAUGGUAACAUGUUCCUGCAGCAGUAAAAAACUAAUACAUGCCUACCUUUCCAUCCCACUGCUAUUUAGUCUGUGGCUUUAAGGAAUAGGUUUGAAUACUAAUUUGCCACCCCUUGAUGUCAACUCAGUGAGAUACAAAAAUAAAUGAUUUGGAAAAUUACAGUAAAAA